AAAAAAAAAAAAACUUCCUGUCUCAAGACUGAAAGAACGAUGGUGCAGAUCAGGAAUACAUAAUUGCAAACGGGCAGAACCGACAAUGGCACAAUUUUUAUUGAGACUUUUUUAAAACUCCUAGAAGCUGGAACAUUUUUGUAAAGAUUACGUGAUUUCUAGAUUUGAAGAUAUUAUAAGCUCCUUAACCACAGCACGAUGGCUAACAGUAUGUUUCCGAAUCGAUAUAUUUCAAGUUGAAAAGUGAAGUAAUUUAAAGUUCUGACAAUAUGAGAUCCCGGAGUAAUAGGUCUAAUUUGGAACAGCCCGAACACGUCAGGCCGAUGCCUCAAGUCGUCCGAUUCGGUAUAUUUAAAAUACUCCUUGUCGUCGUGCCCGGCCUCCUCAUGGGCGGUUAUCUCGGAGCUCAUAUAUCGAACCUUCUGGAAGAAGAGGAACUCGUCGAUGCGCAUGUAGAAUCACAAUAAUUCUUGUUUAAAAAAUCCCCAAAUACAAAUAUGACAACGUAAA